GCUUGUCUCAAAGAUUAAGCCAUGCAUGUCUAAGUAUAAACAAAUUUAUAGUGAAACUGCGAAUGGCUCAUUAUAUCAGUUAUAGUUUAUUUGGCGAUAAAAACUACUUGGAUAACCGUAGUAAUUCUAGAGCUAAUACAUGCAUCAUCCCCCAUCUCGGGGUGUAUUUAUUAGAUGGAAACCAAUGCGGGGCAACCCGGAAUAUGGUGAAUCAUAAUAACUUUGCGGAUCGCAGACCUCGCGUCGGCGACGAAUCAUUCAAGUUUCUGCCCUAUCAGCUUUGGAUGGUAGGGUAUUGGCCUACCAUGGCUCUAACGGGUAACGGAGAAUUGGGGUUCGAUUCCGGAGAGGGAGCCUGAGAGAUGGCUACCACAUCCAAGGAAGGCAGCAGG
rnacentral:rRNA from 1 species